rnacentral:rRNA from 1 species
UUAGAGUUUGAAUCCUGGCUCAGAUUGAACGCUAGCGGGAUGCUUUACACAUGCAAGUCGAACGGCAGCGCGAGAGAGCUUGCUCUCUUGGCGGCGAGUGGCGGACGGGUGAGUAAUAUAUCGGAACGUGCCCAGUAGCGGGGGAUAACUACUCGAAAGAGUGGCUAAUACCGCAUACGCCCUACGGGGGAAAGGGGGGGAUCGCAAGACCUCUCACUAUUGGAGCGGCCGAUAUCGGAUUAGCUAGUUGGUGGGGUAAAGGCUCACCAAGGCAACGAUCCGUAGCUGGUUUGAGAGGACGACCAGCCACACUGGGACUGAGACACGGCCCAGACUCCUACGGGAGGCAGCAGUGGGGAAUUUUGGACAAUGGGGGAAACCCUGAUCCAGCCAUCCCGCGUGUAUGAUGAAGGCCUUCGGGUUGUAAAGUACUUUUGGCAGAGAAGAAAAGGUAUCCCCUAAUACGGGAUACUGCUGACGGUAUCUGCAGAAUAAGCACCGGCUAACUACGUGCCAGCAGCCGCGGUAAUACGUAGGGUGCAAGCGUUAAUCGGAAUUACUGGGCGUAAAGCGUGUGUAGGCGGUUCGGAAAGAAAGAUGUGAAAUCCCAGGGCUCAACCUUGGAACUGCAUUUUUAACUGCCGAGCUAGAGUAUGUCAGAGGGGGGUAGAAUUCCACGUGUAGCAGUGAAAUGCGUAGAUAUGUGGAGGAAUACCGAUGGCGAAGGCAGCCCCCUGGGAUAAUACUGACGCUCAGACCACGAAAGCGUGGGAGCAACNGAU